CAUACGUAAUGGUAUGGUAUCCUUAUCUGAAUACAUAGGGUAAGGAAGACAGACCCAGGGAACUGAAACAUCUAAGUACCUGGAGGAAGAGAAAGCAAAUGCGAUUUCCUGAGUAGCGGCGAGCGAAACGGAACAUAGCCCAAACCAAGAGGCUUGCCUCUUGGGGUUGUAGGACAUUCUAUACGGAGUUACAAAGGAACGAGGUAGACGAAGCGACCUGGAAAGGUCCGUCGUAGAGGGUAACAACCCCGUAGUCGAAACUUCGUUCUCUCUUGAAUGUAUCCUGAGUACGGCGGAACACGUGAAAUUCCGUCGGAAUCUGGGAGGACCAUCUCCCAAGGCUAAAUACUCCCUAGUGAUCGAUAGUGAACCAGUACCGUGAGGGAAAGGUGAAAAGCACCCCGGAAGGGGAGUGAAAGAGAUCCUGAAACCGUGUGCCUACAAAUAGUCAGAGCCCGUUAACGGGUGAUGGCGUGCCUUUUGUAGAAUGAACCGGCGAGUUACGAUCCCGUGCGAGGUUAAGCUGAAGAGGCGGAGCCGCAGCGAAAGCGAGUCUGAAUAGGGCGUUUAGUACGUGGUCGUAGACCCGAAACCAGGUGAUCUACCCAUGUCCAGGGUGAAGUUCAGGUAACACUGAAUGGAGGCCCGAACCCACGCACGUUGAAAAGUGCGGGGAUGAGGUGUGGGUAGCGGAGAAAUUCCAAUCGAACCUGGAGAUAGCUGGUUCUCCCCGAAAUAGCUUUAGGGCUAGCCUUAAGUGUAAGAGUCUUGGAGGUAGAGCACUGAUUGGACUAGGGGUCCUCAUCGGAUUACCGAAUUCAGUCAAACUCCGAAUGCCAAUGACUUAUCCUUAGGAGUCAGACUGCGAGUGAUAAGAUCCGUAGUCAAAAGGGAAACAGCCCAGACCGCCAGCUAAGGUCCCAAAGUGUGUAUUAAGUGGAAAAGGAUGUGGAGUUGCUUAGACAACUAGGAUGUUGGCUUAGAAGCAGCCACCAUUUAAAGAGUGCGUAAUAGCUCACUAGUCGAGUGACUCUGCGCCGAAAAUGUACCGGGGCUAAAUACACCACCGAAGCUGCGGAUUGAUACCGAAUGGUAUCAGUGGUAGGGGAGCGUUCUAAGGACAGUGAAGUCAGACCGUAAGGACUGGUGGAGUGCUUAGAAGUGAGAAUGCCGGUAUGAGUAGCGAAAGACGGGUGAGAAUCCCGUCCACCGAAUGCCUAAGGUUUCCUGAGGAAGGCUCGUCCGCUCAGGGUUAGUCAGGACCUAAGCCGAGGCCGACAGGCGUAGGCGAUGGACAACAGGUUGAUAUUCCUGUACCACCUCUUUAUCGUUUGAGCAAUGGAGGGACGCAGAAGGAUAGAAGAAGCGUGCGAUUGGUUGUGCACGUCCAAGCAGUUAGGCUGAUAAGUAGGCAAAUCCGCUUAUCAUAAAGGCUGAGCUGUGAUGGGGAAGCUCCUUAUGGAGCGAAGUCUUUGAUUCCCCGCUGCCAAGAAAAGCUUCUAGCGAGAUAAAAGGUGCCUGUACCGCAAACCGACACAGGUAGGCGAGGAGAGAAUCCUAAGGUGUGCGAGAGAACUCUGGUUAAGGAACUCGGCAAAAUGACCCCGUAACUUCGGGAGAAGGGGUGCUUUCUUAACGGAAAGCCGCAGUGAAUAGGCCCAAGCGACUGUUUAGCAAAAACACAGCUCUCUGCGAAGCCGUAAGGCGAAGUAUAGGGGGUGACACCUGCCCGGUGCUGGAAGGUUAAGGAGAGGGGUUAGCGUAAGCGAAGCUCUGAACUGAAGCCCCAGUAAACGGCGGCCGUAACUAUAACGGUCCUAAGGUAGCGAAAUUCCUUGUCGGGUAAGUUCCGACCCGCACGAAAGGUGUAACGAUUUGGGCACUGUCUCAACCAGAGACUCGGUGAAAUUAUAGUACCUGUGAAGAUGCAGGUUACCCGCGACAGGACGGAAAGACCCCGUGGAGCUUUACUGUAGCCUGAUAUUGAAUUUUGGUACAGUUUGUACAGGAUAGGCGGGAGCCAUUGAAACCGGAGCGCUAGCUUCGGUGGAGGCGCUGGUGGGAUACCGCCCUGACUGUAUUGAAAUUCUAACCUACGGGUCUUAUCGACCCGGGAGACAGUGUCAGGUGGGCAGUUUGACUGGGGCGGUCGCCUCCUAAAGUGUAACGGAGGCGCCCAAAGGUUCCCUCAGAAUGGUUGGAAAUCAUUCGUAGAGUGCAAAGGCAUAAGGGAGCUUGACUGCGAGACCUACAAGUCGAGCAGGGACGAAAGUCGGGCUUAGUGAUCCGGUGGUUCCGCAUGGAAGGGCCAUCGCUCAACGGAUAAAAGCUACCCCGGGGAUAACAGGCUUAUCUCCCCCAAGAGUCCACAUCGACGGGGAGGUUUGGCACCUCGAUGUCGGCUCAUCGCAUCCUGGGGCUGUAGUCGGUCCCAAGGGUUGGGCUGUUCGCCCAUUAAAGCGGUACGCGAGCUGGGUUCAGAACGUCGUGAGACAGUUCGGUCCCUAUCCGUCGUGGGCGUAGGAAAUUUGAGAGGAGCUGUCCUUAGUACGAGAGGACCGGGAUGGACGCACCGCUGGUGUACCAGUUGUUCUGCCAAGGGCAUAGCUGGGUAGCUAUGUGCGGAAGGGAUAAGUGCUGAAAGCAUCUAAGCAUGAAGCCCCCCUCAAGAUGAGAUUUCCCAUAGCGUAAGCUAGUAAGAUCCCUGAAAGAUGAUCAGGUUGAUAGGUUCGAGGUGGAAGCAUGGUGACAUGUGGAGCUGACGAAUACUAAUAGAUCGAGGACUUAACCAU
rnacentral:rRNA from 1 species